rnacentral:hammerhead_ribozyme from 14 species
UGCGCGUCUGAGGCAGGGUUACCAUCGGAUGCCUUACUGACGAGUCCACGGUGGUAACCUGGGACGAAACGCAAC